UGGCGCACGGGUGAGUAGCGCGUGGGUAAUUUGCCCCUGAGCCCGGGAUAACCUUGCGAAAGCGGGGCUAAUACCGGAUAAGACCACAAUUCGUUCGCGAGUAGUGGAAAAAGCUGGCCUCUACAUGUAAGCUAGCACUUGGGGAUGAGCCCGCGUACCAUUAGCUUGUUGGUAGGGUAAUGGCCUACCAAGGCUACGAUCUAUAGCUGGUCUGAGAGGAUGAUCAGCCACACUGGGACUGAGAUACGGCCCAGACUCCUACGGGAGGCAGCAGUGGGGAAUAUUGGACAAUGGGCGCAAGCCUGAUCCAGCCAUGCCGCGUGAGUGAAGAAGGCCUUAGGGUUGUAAAGCUCUUUCACCUGCGAAGAUGAUGACGGUAGCAGGAGAAGAAGCCCCGGCUAACUCCGUGCCAGCAGCCGCGGUAAUACGGAGGGGGCUAGCGUUGUUCGGAAUUACUGGGCGUAAAGGGCGCGUAGGCGGUAUGCCAAGUCAGGGGUGAAAGGCCUGGGCUCAACCUAGGAACUGCCUUUGAAACUGGCAAACUAGAGUCCGAAAGAGGAUGACGGAAUUCCCAGUGUAGAGGUGAAAUUCGUAGAUAUUGGGAAGAACACCGGUGGCGAAGGCGGCCAUCUGGAUCGGCACUGACGCUGAGGCGCGAAAGCGUGGGGAGCAAACAGGAUUAGAUACCCUGGUAGUCCACGCCGU
rnacentral:rRNA from 1 species